rnacentral:rRNA from 1 species
AUUGAACGCUGGCGGCAGGCUUAACACAUGCAAGUCGAGCGGGGGAAGGUAGCUUGCUACCGGACCUAGCGGCGGACGGGUGGGUAAUGCUUAGGAAUCUGCCUAUUAGUGGGGGACAACAUCUCGAAAGGGAUGCUAAUACCGCAUACGUCCUACGGGAGAAAGCAGGGGAUCUUCGGACCUUGCGCUAAUAGAUGAGCCUAAGUCGGAUUAGCUAGUUGGUGGGGUAAAGGCCUACCAAGGCGACGAUCUGUAGCGGGUCUGAGAGGAUGAUGCGCCACACUGGGACUAAGACACUGCCCAGACUCCUACAGGAGGCAGCAGUGGGGAAUAUUGGACAAUGGGGGGCACCCUGAUCCAGCCAUGCCCCGUGUGUGAAGAAGGCCUUAUGGUUGUAAAGUACUUUAAGCGAGGAGGAGGCUACUCUAGUUAAUACCUAGGGACAGUGGACGUUACUCGCAGAAUAAGCACCGGCUAACUCUGUGCCAUCCGCCGCGGUAA